GAGAGAGAGAGAGAGAGAGAGAGUCCAUGUAAUGUUUGAAUGAGUAUGUAAAAAAGAUCACAACAGGGUUUGUGGAUUGGGUGCUGUCAGACGAGGAGGAGGACAGAUCUACUGCACAGAAGAAGUGUGCAGAAAUCCACAAUGAGUCACAUGUGAGUGUGCAAAUGUGUAUGUACAUCUGGCGGGAACAGGGGCCACAGUACCCUAGGGUUAGUUAGACUCAUUGUUCUGGUUCGGAGCAGCCCACUGCCCAUGAUAUCCAUCCCGUAUCCCCAGUGCUGCGCAGCACUUCCUGCCACGUUUACACAAACAGGAGAAUCAUUUGGCAGAGUCUAGGAUUACAUGUGGUAGUAUCAUACGUUUGCUGAUACCUCUUGUUUUCCCCUAGGGCUUCCUUUAUCUGUCUGUCCUGCCUGUGCUUAGGAGUUGUGCCUUGCUGUUCCUGCUAAUUCUACACAAACCUCUUCAACAACGUGCUGUUGCUCAGUCUCUUCUACUCUUUGGAAUAUCAUAUACUGAGAAUCGUACCUUUAAUUCUAGCUGCUAGAUGGCUGGGCGUUAAAAUGUCCACAAAGACCUGUUUUGAAAAGCACCUGGAGGAUUUCUCCCACACUUGGUAAGUUUAACCUGAUGGGGACAUUUCAGAUUCAAACCAUAGAACCUUCCCAUCAACUAGAACAUUCUCUUGACUCCAGCAGGCAUUCACUGAAUGUAUCAUCACUGCAUUAUAAAACAAGAGCAUAGCAUGCAUGAGGGCAGGAAGCCUGUUCUUCUUUAGUCCCUCUGUGGUACAACCCCUCUCCUUUGGGAGCAAGAAAAAUUAUGAAGUUGCCUUCAUGGAGGUCUUUUUGGGAACCUUAACAUGAGUUUUUAAUGAUCAGCCGAAGUCCCCAGGAGUCAAGGGACUUUACCACUAAUGAGCCCCACCCGAUAAGCAGUCUUUGGCCUCUGAGCUGCCAAAGUGUAGACAGGCCAGAGAAGUAAAACUUUUAAGUCAGCCUUAUCUCUUGGUAUUUUGCCAACUCUGUGGAGGUCCUGGAUUGUGUCCCUUGCCUGGAGGCACCAACAUAGGUUUUCCCUAAAGGAAGCUCAAAUUCAUGCGGCCUUAGGUCGUCCCAGGAGAGAAAGAAGGAGAAGAUAAGCAAUUGUUCGAGAAGCACCUUAGGAAACUGUACUGGGGUGGCACCCUAAGAAGCUAAAAAGCAGGGUAAAGUAACCCCCGUCCUUUGCCUCUGCCUCCUACCAAAGUUGUACUUGCCAUGACAGAGAAUUUGAAAAUACCAUGCGUCAGAAGAAGAGUCUAAAAUUAUCCCCUCCUGUCAUUAAAAGAGUAACCGUUAGCAUAUCAGACCUAAGGUUUUGUGUUUUGGGGGAUAAAGAAAGCACACACCCACACACUCGUGCAUGCACGCAUGCUCACGAAUGAUCUUUGAGACCAGCCUAGCCACAUAAUUAAGCUCUAGAAACAUCUUACGUGUUAGUGGGAGAUUGCUUGCCAGUUCACUUCAAGUACCUGCAUUUGGUUUGGAAACAGAUUUAAAAAGUUGUCAGAGCUGGGCAUGGGGGUGGCAUAACCCUUUAAUCCCAGCACUCAGAAGGCAAAGGCAGGUGGAUCUCUGUGAGUUCAAGGCCAGCCUGGUCUACAAAGUGAGUCCAGGACAGCCAGGGUUGGUUGCACUGAGAAACUCCAUAUCGAAACAAAACAAAACAAAAACAACAAAGCAAAACAAUGGCAACAAAAAGCAAAAUACAAUAACAAAGUUGUCAGACUACUUUUAUGUUUAAUUCUCUUGUUUUUCUAAUUAAUUAAUUAAUUAAUUGUGGAAAAAGUAUUAUCCCAGGUGCUUAGAGCAUGGACUCUAGUGUGGGUUUGAAGUCUGACUUCGGUCAUUGUUUUGGGGACGUAAGCCUAGGCCAGUGAUUUUAUAAGGCCGCGUCAUCAAAUAAGAGCAAUAGCUAAUUCAUGGGUCUUUUGAAAGGAUGCCUUUGGGUGGUCCAUGUGGCCCUUCAUGCACAGGAAAUUCUCUGUACAUAUUAUAUAUAAAAGCCUAGCUAAAGAAAAAUAAAACCUUCAAACCUACCUUCUAGAGAUAACAUGUUAAUUGUAAGGACACAUUUGUGUUUCUGUAACCAAUAGAUGGCAGGUACCUUCUCCUGACAAAAAAUGUAUAUUGCUCAAAAGUAUGUCAAAUAUGCUAAUGACCACAGAAAGUUCCACUGAUACAAAUAUGCCAGGAUUCUCUUGUGAAAGAAAAGAAAAUCACAGAAGGCACUGUAGAACACAAAGCCUCGGGCUUCUGCCCAGUCAAAUCCUCCCUGUGCGCGUUGGACGACACCAGUGUGGAAUAAUCUUGCCACAAACUUGGACUCUACAAUGUCAGGAAGGAUCUAAGAACCUCGUCCCGAUUGAUUUCCAAGCCGGAGCUGACCUUGAUUGUCCCAGGACGUCACCCUCACCUGAGCACUCUGCUCUUGACAUGGAGAAGAAACAAAAUUGGAAACAGUUGAAUUCCUCUGGCGGCUCCUGCUGACUAAGCAGGCGAGGGACCCCACUGCAGAGUUCAUGGUGGUUUUGGCAGAGCAGGAUUCCCUCCCGAGGUUCCAGCCUCCUGGGGGCCAGAUGAGGGGCGGGCUUGUUUACACAGCAUCUCAGACCAAACAGCUGGGGGACGGCAACCAUUUAAUUCUGCCCUGCUGACUUGAGAAGGAAUUUGGUUACACCACACAAGGGAGAGGCUUCCUCAGCUCAUUCCUCACUUUGUGUGUCUCUUCCUUUCCCCCCUUUCCUGUCUUAAAAUUUUCCUCCCCCUGUCUCUUUAUUACCCCUCUGCUCUUCCUUUUUCAACUUUCCCCUCUUUUCUUUACUUCCAAAACAAAGUGCUAUGGGAGGAUGCUUAAGACAGACAGAAGUCCUUUAUUUUUAGAGCCGGGAGAAUUUUUAUCCCCAAAGAUCUGUUAGUAAAAUAAAUGGGAUUAAUCUUUCUCAUUCGGGCAAAACAUGAACCUCACACUGGUCUUAGAGAUGCUGUUUUUGGAAAGAAAGGAUUGGGGUUCCUCAGGGAGUCUGACCCAGCUACACCAGUUGUAAAGUCCGCCCAUUUCCAAGCAAAGGAGAGGAAUUGGAGCCCAGCACAGGGUGGCUAAUUCUGAGGAGACUUUAUCCACAUACUGCCUGGGACGGAAAACCACAGCCUUAAUUAAAAUUUUCAUUUCAAUCCCAUUGUUUAUUAAGAAGGCAAUAGAGAGCCCAGGGGGUCAAAUAGACAAACCCCAACUCAGCCACUGAGAUGCUGUGUGUCUUCAAGAAUAUGACUCUUCCUCCGGAAGCCCACAGAGCUCUCCUUUUGGAGGUAAGACUAACCGGAGUGGGUGGACAUCUGUUUGGGUUGUGUGUCCCAGGUAUUUAGCAUAGAAGAGUGACCAGGAGAGGCAGUUUGGAGCCUUUGAGUGAUUCUUCAUUGUUCAGUGAGCUGUGGAUCCCUUCACUGAGUCACCAUUUCAGCCUUGCUCUCAUAAGGAAAAAACACACAUCUGUGUAUCAAAUGAGCUUGCUAAAAUAAAAGUGCAUACUGUCUGGAAUAUUUUAUUGAUCUAUCAAAAGUAAACCACUGAAAGAGGAAGCAGCUUAGGGCAGAGGAGCGACUGGAGCCCUGCAGGCUCCUGGCCAUCCCUGCCAAACCCCCUUCCUACAGUCUCCUAAAAUACGAGUGGGUAAUUGGAUGCCGUAUCCUACGAUCAUCUCCCCCUAGUCUUUAGAAUCCACAUUUUUCUCAUUUUUGAAAACUGGAGUAGCAUAUUCUUGUCUCCAAUAGCCUGGCUUCCAUCCCAGUCUCUGAUUUCUUUAAGCACACUGACAGUGGUUUUGUAAUCACAUCUGCAAGUCUUUUCUGUAUUCUAGAAUUUAAUCCAACUUGAACUCAUUAAGUAUCCAGUUCCUCUGCUAUUAUCUCUUGUGCAAAUUUUUUGUCUAUAAACCUCCUCUCUAAAAUGCUUCUUAACCAAAAAAAAAUCCACCAACAUAUAUGUAAUGUAUGAUGGCUGGACUUAUACAAAAGCUAUAGUUAGAUCAAAUAA
ensembl:lncRNA